AGAGUGAACGCUGGCGGUAGGCCUAACACAUGCAAGUCGAACGGCAGCACAGUGGUAGCAAUACCAUGGGUGGCGAGUGGCGGACGGGUGAGGAAUACAUCGGAAUCUACCUUUUCGUGGGGGAUAACGUAGGGAAACUUACGCUAAUACCGCAUACGCCCUUUGGGGGAAAGCCGGGAUCGCAAGACCUGGCGCGGAUGGAUGAGCCGAUGUCGGAUUAGCUAGUUGGUGAGGUAAUGGCUCACCAAGGCGACGAUCCGUAGCUGGUCUGAGAGGAUGAUCAGCCACACCGGAACUGAGACACGGUCCAGACUCCUACGGGAGCAGCAGGUGGGGAAUAGUUGGACAAGUGGGG
rnacentral:rRNA from 1 species